rnacentral:rRNA from 1 species
GAUGAACGCUGGCGGCGUGCUUAAUACAUGCAAGUCGAGCGAACGGACGCGAAGCUUGUUUCUCUGAUGUUAGCGGCGGACGGGUGAAUAACACGUGGAUAACCUACCUAUAAGACUGGUAUAACUUCGGGAAACCGGAGCUAAUACCGGAUAAUCUUUUGAACCGCAUGGUUCAAAAGUGAAAGACGGUCUUGCUGUCACUUAUAGAUGGAUCCGCGCUGCAUGAGCUAGUUGGGAAGGUAACGGCUUACCAAGGCAACGAGGCAUAGCCGAGGUGAGAGGGUGGUCGGCCACCCGAGAGCUGAGACACGGUCCAGACUCCUACGGGAGGCAGCAGUAGGGAAUCUUCGGCAAUGGGCGAAAGCCUGACGGAGCAACGCCGCGUGAGAUAUAAAGGUCUUCGGAUCGUAAAACUCUGUUAUGAGGUAUGAACAUAUGUGUAAGUAACUGAACACAGCGUGACGGUACCUAAUCAGAAAGCCACGGCUAACUACGUG